rnacentral:rRNA from 1 species
GAUGAACGCUGGCGGCGUGCCUAAUACAUGCAAGUCGAGCGAACAGACGAGGAGCUUGCUCCUUCGACGUUAGCGGCGGACGGGUGAGUAACACGUAGGUAACCUACCUAUAAGACUGGGAUAACUUCGGGAAACCGGAGCUAAUACCGGCUAAUAUUUCGAACCUCAUGGUUCGAUAGUGAAAGAUGGCUUUUCUAUCACUUAUAGAUGUACCUGCGCCGUAUUAGCUAGUUGGUAAGGUAACGGCUUACCAAGGCAACGAUACGUAGCCGACCUGAGAGGGUGAUCGGCCACACUGGAACGGAGACACGGUCCAGAGUCCUACGGGAGGCAGCAGUAGGGAAUAUUCCGAAAUGGGCGAAAGCCUGACGGAGCAAAGCCGCGUGAGUGAUGAAGGUCUUCGGAUCGUAAAACUCUGUUAUUAGGGAAGAACAAACGUGUAAGUAACUGUGCACGUCUUGACGGUAACUAAUCAGAAAGCCACGGCUAACUACGUG